rnacentral:misc_RNA from 1 species
AACCAUAGAAACCUGCGGAGUACCUGCGGAAGGAUCAUCAUAGAAUUCAUAUCCCCCUCCUCUCCCGGAGGGGGACCCAUGAUAAACCCUUCUGUGCACCGUAAACCGUUCACUUUGGCAGGCUUUGGUGGUGAGCGUGAGCUCGCCUCCAACCUCGCGUUCCUCCCUCACUAAGGGCGUUACGCGUGGCGGCCUGCCGGAGUCCUAUUAAAAAACUCGUUUUCGAACACGUCUGAAAAU